rnacentral:rRNA from 1 species
GAUGAACGCUAGCGACAGGCCUAACACAUGCAAGUCGAGGGGCAGCAUGAAAUUAGCUUGCUAAUUUUGAUGGCGACCGGCGCACGGGUGAGUAACACGUAUGCAACUUGCCUGUAAGCGGGGGAUAACCCGGAGAAAUUCGGACUAAUACCGCAUAAUAUCAUUAAUUCGCAUGUUUUAAUGAUUAAAAAUUUAUUGCUUACAGCUGGGCAUGCGUAUGAUUAGCUAGUUGGCGGGGUAACGGCCCACCAAGGCGACGAUCAUUAGGGGUUCUGAGAGGAAGGUGCCCCACAUUGGAACUGAGGCACGGUCCAAACUCCUACGGGAGGCAGCAGUGAGGAAUAUUGGUCAAUGGACGAGAGUCUGAACCAGCCAUGUCGCGUGAAGGAUGACUGUCCUAUGGAUUGUAAACUUCUUUUAUAUGGGGAUAAAGUGUGAGACUUGUCUCAUUUUGCAUGUACCAUAUGAAUAAGCAUCGGCUAACUCCGUGCCAGCCGCCGCGGUAAUAC